UGGAAGGAACAGAGCAAGAAACAGAUCCAGUUGGAGCAGGAGGGUUUACUCCACAGGUUCCUCUGAUUGAACAAGUUCCUAAAUUCAUAUGAGCCUCAAAAAACAUGAAUCCCAAGGGUGGAUUCUACUGCCACAUACUUUAAGCUGUAUCAAUGUCAAAUGGGUUCAGAUUUGUCUGGGAUCAAAUGAGGCCCAGAAUGCAGACAGACUCUCUUUAUUCAAGCAACAAUUGCUCAGGUUGAAGGCAGGCAGCUGGAGCCUGGAAGUGAUUCAGGAAGGCCAUCUUGUUAACUGAUUCCCAAUACCAAAUAUUAUGCAAUCCCCAGCACAUAGAAGAAAAAAGAAACCAUAAAGAAUGCAGCCAGUUGGCCAUUAUAAAUUAGGCACAGUUGAGCAAAUCUUUCAACAAGAGGGGAUGCACAGAGGGAGGCUUCAUUUCUCUGAUCCCAAAAAGACUGGGUGGAAACAUGUUACAUGUGACUUCUUUACACAAACUGAUUAUGAAACCCAAUUCAAAUGAAUAUGACUGCUCUUUCUGUAGAUGUCAUGACAAAUGUUUAUCUUCACCCUGCCACCUCAUGCCAGCCACAGAACUUUCCUCAUUUUGUAUCCUGUAGAACUACAGCCAAUACAAAUCCUUCCUUAGAGAUCACCAGCAAUGCCAAGAGUGUUCAUGAAGGCCUGUCUUCUUCCCAGUUUACACUACAAACGUUUGCCAAGAGAGCUCCACUUCUGGAGGCAAAAGUGUGAGUGUGGAAGUUGCUAGAGCAAACCCUGAAGGGGUAGCUGGUGCGUGACAGCUCCAGAAGCCUCCAGUAUCUCCAUAGAUACAAACAAGCCAACCACACAGGAUGCCUCGGAAAGCAAGUAACCAGCCUCGUGCAGUUUGCUUCGAUGUCAAUGAAUACCUGGCUAUAUCAUCUGCUCUAACAUGAAUCAUCAUCAGUGAGUUAUUUUCUGCUCCCAUCAGGAUCAUCUGUAACAUCAGGUCCAUGUCAUAUACCUUGCUCCCAAGUGCAUCCUUCUGUUUUGUGUCUUCCCUUAUUAAAGUUCUGUUAAUUCUUCCUAAGAAUGAGUCUCAAAUAUUCACACUUGUUUUUCCUAGUUUUAUUAUCAAUCCCUGGUCUUUUUUCCUUUCACUCUUCCUUCUGUCUGCAAGUCAUAUUAUUCUCCCUAGUGAUUAAUGCACUCAGCCAUAAAGUGGUAUGGGAUUUGAAUGUCACAUCAUCUAUUUCCCAAAACAUCCUAACCACCAAGCUAUACAACAGGCUAGAUAAGGACACCCUCCACCUCUCAUUUUGAAGCUGGGUCACUGGGCAUCCAAGAGUGCAAGUGUCAGAAAACAAGGAGGCAACAAGGAGCCUGCCUCAAUGGCCUUGGAAGGAUGCAUGGAGGGAGUCCUGAGU